UCCUAAAUUUUGAGGAAGUGGUUGGAGUUCUCAAAUCAAAUGAGCAGCGAGAGAAGAUAUGUAAAGGUAGCCUUAACUCAGAGGUGCUUGCUAUGAAUGAGAGGCAAAGGAGACCUAAGGAGAGGAUUCGAGAUAAGUCUAAGGGUAGAUUGAAGUCUCGAGAAAAUUUGAAGGUUGUGAAAUACUACAAGUAUCAUCAACCUGAUCAUUUAAGGAGGAAUUGCCUACUUCUUAAGAAUGAGAAGAGGGAGGGCAAGGUUGGAUCGACCAAUGGGAGAGGUGCUCUAUCAUCUAAAGUAGUGAAAAUGAUGUAUUGAUAGUAUC
rnacentral:lncRNA from 1 species